rnacentral:rRNA from 1 species
UAGGGAAUCUUCGGCAAUGGACGAAAGUCUGACCGAGCAACGCCGCGUGAGUGAAGAAGGUUUUCGGAUCGUAAAACUCUGUUGUUAGAGAAGAACAAGGACGUUAGUAACUGAACGUCCCCUGACGGUAUCUAACCAGAAAGCCACGGCUAACUACGUGCCAGCAGCCGCGGUAAUACGUAGGUGGCAAGCGUUGUCCGGAUUUAUUGGGCGUAAAGCGAGCGCAGGCGGUUUCUUAAGUCUGAUGUGAAAGCCCCCGGCUCAACCGGGGAGGGUGAUUGGAAACUGGGAGACUUGAGUGCAGAAGAGGAGAGUGGAAUUCCAUGUGUAGCGGUGAAAUGCGUAGAUAUAUGGAGGAACACCAGUGGCGAAGGCGGCUCUCUGGUCUGUAACUGACGCUGAGGCUCGAAAGCGUGGGGAGCAAACAGG